rnacentral:rRNA from 1 species
UACGUAGGGGGCAAGCGUUGUCCGGAAUCAUUGGGCGUAAAGCGCGCGUAGGCGGCCCGGUAAGUCCGCUGUAAAAGUCCAGGGCUCAACCCUGGAAAGCCGGUGGAUACUGUCGGGCUAGAGUCCGGAAGAGGCGAGUGGAAUUCCUGGUGUAGCGGUGGAAUGCGCAGAUAUCAGGAGGAACACCGAUGGCGAAGGCAGCUCGCUGGGACGUAACUGACGCUGAGACGCGAAAGCGUGGGGAGCAAACAGG